rnacentral:sRNA from 1 species
GCUGGGUAUGGUGGCUCAUACCUGUAAUUCCAGCUACUUGGGAGGCUGAGGCAGGAGAUUUCAAGCUUGGCACUAGCUUUGGGAAAUUAGCAAAACCCUGUCUAAA